ACGAACGCUGGCGGCAUGCUUAACACAUGCAAGUCGAACGUGAAAGUCCGCAAGGACGAGUAAAGUGGCGCACGGGUGAGUAACGCGUAGAUAACCUGCCCUCCAGUCUGGGAUAACCCUCCGAAAGGGGAGCUAAUACCGGAUAACACUUUCUGGCAAGUGCCGGGAAGUUGAAAGUUGCGGCGCUGGAGGAUGGGUCUGCGCCCCAUUAGCUAGAUGGCAGGGUAACGGCCUACCAUGGCGACGAUGGGUAGCGGGUCUGAGAGGAUGAUCCGCCACACUGGCACUGAGACACGGGCCAGACUCCUACGGGAGGCAGCAGUGGGGAAUCUUGCGCAAUGGGCGAAAGCCUGACGCAGCAAUGCCGCGUGAGUGAAGAAGGCCUUCGGGUCGUAAAGCUCUUUAUCUCAGGGACGAUGAUGACGGUACCUGAGGAAUAAGCACCGGCUAACUACGU
rnacentral:rRNA from 1 species